CACAUAUAUAAAAAAAUUUUCCGACCAGAUAAUUGUUCUCACACGAUAUGAUACUCGAAUAAUAUUCAUACGGAGUUACGGACCAUACCGUUUACACCGAGGGUUCUCUCUUUGUCUGUUCACUGUUCUACUGGGACGACCCCAAAUCCCCAAAUCGAAAGGGGCCGUCCGGCUCAGGGUUUCUCGACGGCUCCUUGCCCUCUCCGCCAUGGACGCACAGCGAGCCCUCCUUGACGAGCUCAUGGGCACAGCUCGCAACCUAACGGAGGAGGAGAAGAAGGGGCACAAAGAGCUGAAGUGGGACGAUCCGGACGUGUGCGGCCCUUACAUGGUUCGGUUCUGUCCUCACGACCUUUUCGUCAACACCAAGAGCAAUAUCGGGCCGUGCUCGAGGAUCCACGAUCCGAAGCUCAAGGAAAGCUUUGAGAAGUCUCCUAGGCACGAUACUUAUAUGCAAAGGUUUGAGGCAGAGCUUGCACAACAAUGUGAGAAAUUGGUAAUGGACUUAGAUAGAAAGAUAAGGCGUGGUCGAGAAAGGCUGGCUCACGAUUCUGCUGUGCCAAUGCCAAUCCCUGGAAAAUUAGCUGAGCUGCUUUCAGUGCGAAAAGAACAGGUGAAGAAGCUGCUGGAGCAAAUUGAGGAGCUUGGUGAGGCUGGUAAAGUGGAUGAAGCUGAGGCACUUAUGAGAAGGGUUGACAUUUUAAACGCUGAGAAGACAGCUUUAGCUAACGAAGCAGACAACAAAGUAGCUAUGCUUGAGAAGAAGAUGGAACUUUGUGAAACAUGUGGAUCAUUCUUAGUUGCUGAUGAUGCUCUUGAGAGAACGCAGUCCCAUGUGACUGGGAAACAACACAUUGGUUAUGGCAUGGUUAGGGAUUUCCUGGCAGAAUACAAGGCAGCAAAAGAGAAGACAAAAGAGGAAGAGCGGCUUGCAAGGGAGCAGAAAGCAGAGGAGCAUCGGAAACAGAGGGGAAAAGAGUAUGAUAGUGGGGGCAGGGAUAGAGAUACCAGAAGGGAGAGGUCUGGGGAGCGUGACUUUGACCGUGAUCGUCAGUAUGAGCGAAGCAGAGGAAGAGAUAGGGUUUAUGAUUACAGGGACAGAGGAUCAGAACACCGAAGCAAUCGCUACAGAAAUGGGAGGGAUUCUGAAAGAGGUGGACACAGAUACAGGAGUGGUGGUAUGACAAAUGACCGAGGGAGAAUGAGGAGCAGAUCACGUUCUCCAACCAGGCAUGGCUAUGGAAGAUCUAGAAGUCCAGAUCAUUAGCUGCCUAGCUGGACAUUUAGAUAGUUUUAUUCACAGUUGGGACUCAUGAGCUCUGUUGGAACCCUACAGUCUCCCUAUUUUGCAUGGGGAAAAAUUCCCAGUUAAAUUUAGUAAGGCCGGUACUGGAUUUCAUAUAUGGAUGAUGAUGUUUACAGCUUAUAGCAGUGUACAAGAGAUCAAGCUUUGGUUUGUAGACAAUGGUGCCCUGGCUAGAACCGCGAGGAUUGGGCCUAUUUCCUGACUGUCUAGUUAUUGUCUCAGAAGUCUGGUUUAGAUAAGGUUCUGUUUCCGCGGCAAACUAUUAGAUACCUUUGCAGUUGCGGAGUUCUGUAAUUGAUGUAUUAUUUAUGCAGAUAGUGUAGUCUAACUAUGCAAACUAAUAUAUGAUCUGUUUCAGAGUUUUGAGAUAUUCCGUAUGAUUGGUUGUCUGCACCGUCUCAUUUUGGAUCACUCCAUAUCCUGUCCCGCAUCGCGCGAGCCUGCACCUCUGCGAGCAGCCAUCUAAUCAGCCGGAUUAUGUUUUGGAUCAAUUGGCACCACAAUCUUGUUGGAGCAGCGUCUACUGAAGUUAUGUUGUUUGCAUGACAUUUCUGAUUCCUGUGCCUUUUUUCACUUACAGCCUGUUUGGAUGCCUAGAAAUGAAUCUUUUUCAAGAAAUAAAUUCCAAGAAAUGAAUUAUAUAGAA